rnacentral:rRNA from 1 species
UGGGGAAUAUUGCACAAUGGAGGGAACUCUGAUGCAGCGACGCCGCGUGAGUGAUGAAGGACUUCGUUUCGUAAAACUCUGUUCUAUGGGAAGAAAAGGACUGUACCAUAGGAGAAAGCUCCGGCUAAAUACGUGCCAGCAGCCGCGGUAAUACGUAUGGAGCGAGCGUUGUCCGGAAUUAUUGGGCGUAAAGGGUGCGCAGGCGGCUUUACAAGUUGGAUGUGAAAUAUUGUGGCUCAACCACAAACGUGCAUCCAAAACUGCAAAGCUUGAGUUAAGGAGAGGUAAGUGGAAUUCCUGGUGUAGCGGUGGAAUGCGUAGAUAUCAGGAGGAAUACCGGUGGCGAAGGCGACUUACUGGACUUAAACUGACGCUCAGGCACGAAAGCGUGGGUAGCAAACAGG